ACGGAGGGUGCAAGCGUUAUCCGGAAUCACUGGGUUUAAAGGGUGCGUAGGCGGCCAGAUAAGUCAGAGGUGAAAGUUUCCGGCUCAACCGGGAGAUUGCCUUUGAUACUGUUUGGCUUGAAUCAGAUUGAGGUUGGCGGAAUGUGACAUGUAGCGGUGAAAUGCAUAGAUAUGUCAUAGAACAUCGAUUGCGAAGGCAGCUGGCUGGAUCUGUAUUGACGCUGAGGCACGAAAGCGUGGGGAGCAAACAGG
rnacentral:rRNA from 1 species